rnacentral:rRNA from 1 species
GAUGAACGCUAGCUACAGGCUUAACACAUGCAAGUCGAGGGACCGGCGCACGGGUGAGUAGCACGUAUCCAACCUGCCCUUUACUCGAGGAUAGCCUUUCGAGAGAAAGAUUAAUACCCGAUAUAAAGGAUGGGGAUGCGUUUCAUUAGGUUGUUGGUGAGGUAACGGCUCACCAAGCCUUCGAUGGAUAGGGGUUCUGAGAGGAAGGUCCCCCACAAUGGAAAUACGGCACAGUCUAAACUCCUACGCGAGGCAGCAGUGAGGAAUAUUGGUCAAUGGGCGCUAGCCUGAACCAGCCAAGUAGAGGGAAGGAUGAAGGCUUAUUGGUCGUAAACUUCUUUUAUAGAAGAAUAUGUAUUAUAUGAAUAAGGAUCGGCUAACUCCGUGCCAGCAGCCGCGGUAAUAC